rnacentral:tRNA from 1 species
CCCACCGUAGCUCAAUGGUAGAGCACUCGGCUGUAGCCCGGGACGUCGCAAGUUCGAAUCUUGCCGGUGGGA